rnacentral:rRNA from 1 species
UACGGGGGGAGCAAGCGUUGUUCGGAUUUACUGGGCGUAAAGAGCGCGCAGGCGGUCGUUCAAGUCGCGUGUGAAAGCCCCCGGCUCAACUGGGGAGGGUCAUUCGAUACUGAUCGACUCGAAGGCAGGAGAGGGUAGUGGAAUUCCCGGUGUAGUGGUGAAAUGCGUAGAUAUCGGGAGGAACACCAGUGGCGAAGGCGACUACCUGGCCUGUUCUUGACGCUGAGGCGCGAAAGCUAGGGGAGCAAACGGG